CAGUAGCCGCGGUAAUACGUAGGUGGCAAGCGUUGUCCGGAAUUAUUGGGCGUAAAGGGCUCGCAGGCGGUUUCUUAAGUCUGAUGUGAAAGCCCCCGGCUCAACCGGGGAGGGUCAUUGGAAACUGGGAAACUUGAGUGCAAAAGAGGAGAGUGGAACUCCACGUGUAGCGGUGAAAUGCGUAGAGAUGUGGAGGAACACCAGUGGCGAAGGCGACUCUCUGGUCUGUAACUGACGCUGAGGAGCGAAAGCGUGGGGAGCGAACAGGAUUAGAUACCCGUGUAGUCCCUGUCUCUUAUAA
rnacentral:rRNA from 1 species